rnacentral:lncRNA from 1 species
UUCCCAGAAUCCUCUUUGAUUCCUAGACCUGUCUAACUUGCUGUCUCAUUGGCCAAACAGUAUUUUAUCAUCCAGUAAGACAAACACAGAGAAGCACUUCCCCCAUCAUUUCUCCACUGUUAUUCACCAACAACCACUGUAUAUCCUUUAUAUCCUUUUAAUAUUUUUAGGUUUCCCAUAAUAUAUCCUUUCCUAAGUCUUUUUUUUUUUUUUUUUUUUUGUACAGGACUAUCAUCUGACCUGAACUACUACCAUCUUCAGGAGUCCAUCUGUGUCACGGGCCAUGAAGAUACAGAUUAUAAAAGAAACUGUUGUGAGGAGCUGGCUUUGAAUCAUGUUAUUCGCUUUAACCCUUGUGAAGACUCAGGGAGUCCUCUCCUGGGUGAGAGGUCUCUGUGGGUGCUUCUAGUGAAAAGGACGUGGUGGUCAUCGAGCAAAGAAACUAGGAGUGUUCUUUAA